rnacentral:rRNA from 1 species
CCGCAUGGCCCAUGGAAGAAAGGUGGCCUCUACCUGUAGCUAUCGCCUGAAGAGGGGUUUGCGUCUGAUUAGCUGGUUGGAGGGGUAACGGCCCACCAAGGCGACGAUCAGUAGCCGGUCUGAGAGGAUGAACGGCCACACUGGAACUGAGACACGGUCCAGACUCCUACGGGAGGCAGCAGUGGGGAAUCUUCCGCAAUGGGCGAAAGCCUGACGGAGCAACGCCGCGUGAGUGAUGACGGCCUUCGGGUUGUAAAACUCUGUGAUCCGGGACGAAAAGGCAGAGUGCGAAGAACAAACUGCAUUGACGGUACCGGAAAAGCAAGCCACGGCUAA